AACGAACGCUGGCGGCGCGUCUUAAGCAUGCAAGUCGAACGGCAAGAGAGGAGCUUGCUUCUCUCCUAGAGUGGCGGACUGGUGAGGAACACGUGGGUAAUCUACCCUUAAGAUGGGGAUAGCUGCUAGAAAUAGCAGGUAAUACCGGAUACACUCGGCAUAUCACAAGAGGUGUUGAGGAAAGGAAGCUACGGCUUCGCUUGAGGAUGAGCUUGCGUCCCAUUAGCUAGUUGGUGAGGUAAAGGCCCACCAAGGCGACGAUGGGUAUCCUGCCUGAGAGGGUGAACGGACACAUUGGGACUGAGAUACGGCCCAAACUCCUACGGGAGGCAGCAGCUAAGAAUAUUCCGCAAUGGACGGAAGUCUGACGGAGCGACGCCGCGUGGAUGAAGAAGGCUGAAAAGUUGUAAAAUCCUUUUGUUGAUGAAGAAUAAGGGUGAGAGGGAAUGCUCAUCUGAUGACGGUAAUCGACGAAUAAGCCCCGGCUAAUUACGUG
rnacentral:rRNA from 1 species